rnacentral:lncRNA from 1 species
AUUUCUUUCUUCCUUUUAAGGAAGAUUAAGACAAGGGGAGCUGAGAGGUCAUGGAGAGAGCAUUGGGCAGUGGUCAGGACUCCUUGGUUCACACACUAUAAUGGACUUCUGCUGAGUCCCUUCUCUCCUUCCUUUGGGAAUGUGUUUGGCUUAGUAUUUGGCACCAUAGGGUGAGUUUGCAAAGGUCCCUUCCUGUUCUGACAUUGUGUGAUUUCAUAAUUCCAAGACUUUCUGAAUAAGACAAGACUUUUAAUGGAAGAACCUUAACAUUUUUGUGUAUGAGCUCCUCUGGAAUCUGGGUGAGGCAAUUGCAAUUCUUGGAACCAUCGGCUCCUCUAACCAGAAGGCAUCCCUUAAAGGUCAUUUUACUCCUCUUCAUGCUUCCAAACAGAACCUUGCCUGGUCUAUUUUGUAGGGCUAUAAUACACUCUUCAUAGAGUUCUGGUGCUGAAAGUGACUCUGGAGGUCAUUUUGCCCUUCUCUCUUCCUUUUGGGGGUAAUUAUAUGCCCCCCUUUUUUAAAGAUCCCUGAGAAGAAAUACUCUGUUCCACAUCCAUAUUAGAGGCAAUGAGAUGGACUAAUAGUAAGAGUUUUGACCUUACAGUUAGGAAUAUCUAAGUUCAAAUUUUGAUUCAGACAUUAGCUGUGUGGCAAAGCCCUUAACUUCUCUCUGCCUCCACUUUCUUAUCUGCAAAAUGGGGCUAAUUGUAGCACCUACCUCACAGAUUUAUAAGGAA